CAAUCACCACAGCACUCCGAAUACCCUUGGCUUUCCUCUGAUUUUGAAAGUUAAGCAGGUUUGAGCCCAGGUAGUGCUUGGAUGGGAAACCACCAGAGAAAACUGAGUGCUGGAUUGA
rnacentral:rRNA from 1 species